ACAGACCCUUUCUCCUCUCAGUGUCUGUGGCUAAUGGUAGUGGUAUUGUUCAUGAGACAGUUUACCUAAUACUAUUUGGCAGAAUGUUUGGUCUUUGAUCAGUGGACUGGCCAGUUGGAAGAAAGAAUCUGACUAGUGCUUUGCUGUCUGACCCUUAUUUCAUGUACCCAUAUAUCUGUGUGAGACGAAGAACUAGAAAGUGUUCAGGUCAGAGGGAUUCUUGUUCAUAUGUUGGGGAAGCAACCUGUUAAGAGGAGACUUCCUGAAGUUAAGCAGAAUGAGGACUUUAAGCCAUCACAACUGAAAUAGUACAACCCUUCCAAGACCUCACAUUGGAGAGUCAAAAUAAAGUUCAAGUCAUAAUCAAAGGCCACAAGGCCCUCUCCAUCUUCAUCUCAGCUUAAAUUGUGUCAUAUGUGCAGAAUGGGUUAGCAGAGCAGAAAUUCCAGUGAAGAGUAACUAGAGCCAAUUUAUGAAGCUAAAUGGGGGAAUAGCAGAUCCCAAGUGUGACUUCAAGGAGAAUGGUUCAGAUAUAUUUCAAGUAAAGGCUUUUAAA